GAUGAACGCUGGCGGCGUGCCUAAUACAUGCAAGUCGAGCGAACAGACGAGGAGCUUGCUCCUCUGACGUUAGCGGCGGACGGGUGAGUAACACGUGGAUAACCUACCUAUAAGACUGGGAUAACUUCGGGAAACCGGAGCUAAUACCGGAUAAUAUAUUGAACCGCAUGGUUCAAUAGUGAGAGACGGUUUUGCUGUCACUUAUAGAUGGAUCCGCGCCGCAUUAGCUAGUUGGUAAGGUAACGGCUUACCAAGGCGACGAUGCGUAGCCGACCUGAGAGGGGGAUCGGCCACACUGGAACUUGGCCACGGUCCAGACUCCUACGGGAGGCAGCAGUAGGGAAUCUUCCGCAAUGGGCGAAAGCCUGACGGAGUAGCGCCGCGUGAGUGAUGAAGGUCUUCGGAUCGUAAAACUCUGUUAUUAGGGAAGAACAAAUGUGUAAGUAACUAUGCACGUCUUGACGGUACCUAAUCAGAAAGCCACGGCUAACUACGUG
rnacentral:rRNA from 1 species